rnacentral:rRNA from 1 species
GACGAACGCUGGCGGCGUGCUUAACACAUGCAAGUCGAACGCUGAAGGCCUGGCUUUUGUUGGGUUGGAUUAGUGGCGGACGGGUGAGUAACACGUGAGUAACCUGCCCUCUUCUUUGGGAUAACGCCCGGAAACGGGUGCUAAUACUGGAUAUUCACUGAUCUUCGCAUGGGGGUUGGUGGAAAGGUUUUUUCUGGUGGGGGAUGGGCUCGCGGCCUAUCGGCUUGUUGGUGGGGUGAUGGCCUACCAAGGCUUUGACGGGUAGCAGGCCGGGGAGGGUGACCGGUCACAUUGGGACUGAGAUACGGCCCAGACUCAUACGGCAGGCAGCAGUGGGGAAUAUUGCACACUGGGCGAAAGCCUGAUGCAGCGACGCCGCGUGAGGGAUGGAGGCCUUCGGGUUGUAAACCUCUUUCGCUCAUGGUCAAGCCGCAACUGUGGGUUGUGGUGAGGGUAGUGGGUAAAGAAGCGCCGGCUAACUACGUG